rnacentral:rRNA from 1 species
GAUGAACGCUGGCGGCGUGCCUAAUACAUGCAAGUCGAGCGAACAGAUGAGGAGCUUGCUCCUCUGACGUUAGCGGCGGACGGGUGAGUAACACGUGGAUAACCUACCUAUAAGACUGGGAUAACUUCGGGAAACCGGAGCUAAUACCGGAUAAUAUAUUGAACCGCAUGGUUCAAUAGUGAAAGACGGUUUUGCUGUCACUUAUAGAUGGAUCCGCGCCGCAUUAGCUAGUUGGUAAGGUAACGGCUUACCAAGGCAACGAUGCGUAGCCGACCUGAGAGGGUGAUCGGCCACACCGGAACUGGGACACGGUCCAGACUCCUACGGGAGGCAGCAGUAGGGAAUCUUCCGCAAUGGGCGAAAGCCUGACGGAGCAACGCCGCGUGAGUGAUGAAGGUCUUCGGAUCGUAAAACUCUGUUAUUAGGGAAGAACAAAUGUGUAAGUAACUAUGCACGUCUUGUCGGUACCUAAUCAGAAAGCCACGGCUAACUACGUG